UACGUAGGGGGCAAGCGUUGUCCGGAAUCAUUGGGCGUAAAGAGCGUGUAGGCGGCCCGAUAAGUCCGCCGUGAAAGUCCAGGGCUCAACCCUGGAAUGCCGGUGGAAACUGUCGGGCUGGAGUCCGGAAGAGGCGAGUGGAAUUCCUGGUGUAGCGGUGGAAUGCGUAGAUAUCGGGAGGAACACCAGUGGCGAAGGCGGUUGCCUGGAGCUUUGCUGACGCUGAGGCGCGAAAGCGUGGGGAGCGAUCCGG
rnacentral:rRNA from 1 species